UACGAAGGGGGCUAGCGUUGCUCGGAAUCACUGGGCGUAAAGCGCACGUAGGCGGAUCUUUAAGUCGGGGGUGAAAUCCUGGAGCUCAACUCCAGAACUGCCUUCGAUACUGAGGACCUUGAGUCCGGGAGAGGUGAGUGGAACUGCGAGUGUAGAGGUGAAAUUCGUAGAUAUUCGCAAGAACACCAGUGGCGAAGGCGGCUCACUGGACCGGAACUGACGCUGAGGCGCGAAAGCGUGGGGAGCAAACAGG
rnacentral:rRNA from 1 species